AAGACUAUACUUUCAGGGAUCAUUUCUAUAGUACUUUACUAGAGAAGUUUUUCUGAUCGUGUAGAGCACCGAAAAGAAAAAAAAAAAAAGAUUCCCAUGAGAAUGUGUGUCAUUUC
rnacentral:snoRNA from 1 species